rnacentral:misc_RNA from 1 species
GUGGGGUGAAUCAUCUAGGUCGACGGAAUGAAGUGUGGUUUCCUUCAGGUUUAGUUCGUAAUGCAGGGGAAUAUUCUGGAUGGCAGGGGCAGAGGGGCUCCAACAGCUUUGAUGACUCCAAAAGGCACUCUUUUCUUGAAGAACUGAAGUCGAGCAAUGCACGGAAGUUUGAGCUUUCUGAUAUUGCCGGGCGUAUUGUUGAAUUCAGUGUUGAUCAACAUGGGAGUCGCUUUAUUCAACAGAAGCUCGAGCACUGCAGUCCUGAAGAGAAGGCAUCCGUGUUUAAAGAAGUUCUUCCACAUGCCUCUAA